rnacentral:lncRNA from 1 species
UGAGUAUAUCAUUAUUUUAGUGUUUGUGUGUUGAUAAGGUGAUACCCACCAUUAAAAUUAUUAGUAAUCUACCUCCUCUAAUAAACAAAACCUUUAAUGUGCCAAAUGUUCCCUUUCUACCAUUCUAACAUGCCACGUGUCAUUUUAUGAAUAAUUCUUAUUAUUCAAAUUAAAUUACAUUAAAAUUAAAUUGUAAUCCGAUUUUUUUUCAACUUAUUGCAUUUUUCGGUUUCUUAUAACAUUUAAAUUUAAAUUUAAAUUCCAUGCUUUUUGGAAACAAUAGCAAUUCACGUUUGAUUUGUUUGGUAACAAAUCCUAUCUUAUUUUGACUCUUUUCAAAAUUUCAAUGAAAUCCCAAAAAAUUAGCAACUUGAAAUUAAUAUUUUGACUCCAUUUAUAUUUCAAUAUCGUCAACACGUCCUCCACAUUCCUUCCCAUUGUCAAGUUUUAUUGUGCUUUCUCAUCUUCAACAAUACUAUUUCUGUAAAAGAGACAACAUAACAAAUCAGGUUAGUUCAUCUUCAUAAACCAAUAUUUAUAACCUUUUUCUGAAAUACUUUAACGUACUUUCUUUUUUCUAAAAACCUUUCUUCGAAAGUAUGUUGUAUCUGUUGCGGUUCUUGAUUUAAAUCAGUAAAAAAAAACAUAUCUUCUUAUCUGCAACUAUUUUGGAGUACAUUUGGCCAAUAUGACAGUUUAGACCAAAUUUUUAUUUUUAUUUUUCAUUAAAAAGCUGCAACUCUUUUUGAAAAGUAAAUGAUUGUUUUAUCAAAAAUUGAAAGUUCUUUUUGGAUGUAAAUGACUCCUUUACCCCUCACCUUACAACACUAUUAAAAAUAAGGCGAAAACUAUGCAGUUGUAAAUGUUGUUAUAUUGUUGUCCAUUUUUUUAAUUUUUUUUUAAAUUAUAGCAAUAUACUUUGAAACUAUAUUGUUGUGAUUAAAUGCAGAAAGGGUAUUUUGGUUCAUUUAUUAGACUUAUAUGUUUUAAAAACAUUAUAACCCAUAAUGACAUCCAGUUGUGAUAUUAAACAGUAGAAAAUUAGGAAAAGGGCAUUUUGGUCAAUUUAUUAUGAAACAUUGUUAUUUUUGUCUUUCUAACUUCAUAUAAAGUUGCAACUCUUUUUGAAAAGUAAACGACUGUUUUAUCAAAAAUGUAAAUGACCCUUUUACCCCUCACCUUACAACACUAUUAAAAAUAACCGAAAACUAAGCAGGUGUAAAUGUUGUUAUAUUGCUAUCCAUUUUUUAUUUUUAUUUUUUUUAAAUUAUAGCAAUAUACUUUGAAACUAUGUUGUUGUGAUUAAUGAUAAAAAAAAACACUUUUAAUAUGUAAUUAAGACUAUUUUGCUAUGAUUUUCUAAAUUUUGGGUCCAAUAUGUAAUUAAUAACUUUCUGUUGGGACUUAAAACUAUGUUGGUGUGAUUUUGUAAAUUCAGGUCCGAUAUGUAAUUAACAGAUUACAUAAAGGAAUGAAAUCAUCAAUAUCCCAUAUAAUCAGCAAUAAUUUUGAAUUCUUUAAUUUUUUUUACCAAAACAUAACAAUAUUUACAAUUCUGCCCUUUUAUAUUAGAAAAUGACAACUCCACCCUUUUAUAUUAGAAAAUAACAAUUGUGCCCUUUUAUAUUAUAAAAAUGACAAAUAUGCCCUUUUAAUAGAAAAAGUGCAAUUGUUUAUUUUUUGUCGGCUAUAUUUUUUAUUAUGUUUUUUACUGUCAAAUAUAAAUUCAAGCUAUCAUUUAGGUAGAAAAUGCAAUUCUGCCCUUUUAUAUUACAAAAUGACAAUUAUGCCCUUUUAUAUUAUAAAAGUGACAAAUAUGUCAUUUUAAUAGGAAUACUAUCAUUUAUCAAUUUCUGUCGGUUAUAUAUUUUUUGAUUAUGUUUUUACUGUUAAAUAUAAAUUAACUUAACAUUUAGGUAGAAAAUGGUAAUUCUGCCCCUUUAUAUCAUAAAUGACAAUUCUGCCCUUUUAUGUUAGAAAAUGACAACUAUGCCCUUUUAUAUUAUAAAAAUGACAAAUAUGCCCUUUUAUAUUGUACUUUUAAAAAGAAAACUGUAAGUUUGAUAGUUUUUGAUGUCAUGAAUGUAACAAAAUCAUUGUGUAUUUCAACAAAAAAAAUGAAGAGAAGAUGAAGUUUUUGACACCAAAUGUUAAAAAAUAAUGGUUUUAUAUGAUGAAUUGGUAAUCUUGCCUAUGGUUUUCUUUUGUUUUUCCAUUAAGUUAUUAAUAAUUCAUGCAGUUACUUUAAAUACUAAGUAUACCAUUGUACUUUUAAUAAUAUAAUUGUUUACUAUGCUGGAUUGAUGGAUUUUAAUAUAUUUGUGGAAAUGACAUACCUUUCAUAAGAUGUGAAAAGAAAUCAUGUGAGAUUCUCUAAGCUGUUGUUGAAUGCAACAUACUCUUCAACACUCGACUCAAUAAACACUAUCAUGCUUUAUGAUUAUAGAGAUUUGCUGCUACAAUAACAAAACAUACAUUAUUGUAAACGUGUUUUUUAUAUAUAUAAAAAAAGUAUGAAUAUACAAUGCUAUCAAAAUAUCAAAAAAUAUAUUACAAUGUAAUUUAACUGUUUCUUUUACUUUUUUGUUCAUAUACUUUCUAAUUACAAUAUACUUUCAUUACAUCUUACAAACACACAAACACAUGUUCAAAUCAAAGAAAAAAAAUCUCGUUAUAUUGAGCACAUUUUACUUUUACUAUUUUAAUUUGUAUUCCUUAAAAUGUUAAUGUUCUUUCAACUGUAUGUCUCUUAUAGCAUUCCACUUUCAUAUAAAUAUAAUAUUUUUUUUUAAAUUCCACUGUCUCCUACACAACAUUCCGCUUUCCUCAAUAUGCUUACAUACAUAUAAUCAAAUAACCAACCUUUUCAUUUCAUACAUAUUACAUAACACUUCUCAACCAAAAUACCACUAAAAUUUUGCCUAAUACACUAAUUUGUUACUUAUCUUAGCAAGCUUACACCAAAACAUAACAAUUUUCAUUCACAUAAUUUGAGAAUAGGAAACCUAAUUUUACACUCCCAUCAUAUGUUCACUGUUGUAGGCACCAACAUUAAAAUCUCAUUAUUUGAAAAUAAUACCUAGAUUUAAGAGAACAAGCAAGAAUGUAUGAACGAAAAUGAAACUUCUGAAGCAUAACUUUCAAAUUUUCACACUUAAACAAUAACAAUUCAAGAUUCAAUUUUGAAAUACAAUCAAAAUAAAUACAGGGAGUACAUUGAAUCUCAUUUUCUACAAAAACGAAAUUAGUAAUUUUACCUCUUUUUCAUCGUCGCCCUAUCUUCAUCGUUGAAAUCCAACAGCCAACAUAUUCCAAAAUCAGACCACAAGGACGCCAUUUUUUCUUCAUAACUUUAGCAACGGACUGAAAUCGCUUUCUUUCUGCUCUACUAACUAUUACGAAAUUGGAUUUGUAUUCCUUUCGAUUUUGGAUUUCAAACAUAUAUUUAUUCCCGAUUAUGCUAUUAAGAAAUUAUGGCAGUGGGGUGGCUACACUGUAAGGCCGCUACGAAGUCGAUGAAAUCUCCGAUUACAAGAGAUCAGUACAUUGAAAUGUAGAAAUCGAACACAACAAUCGGUGUAUGCGAUUUCAGGAAGAAAAAAAUAGAAACGAUAAAGUCUAGAAUAUCUACCGGAAGAAUGAAUGUUUUUAGGGUUAAACUUAUU